AGGUGUAUUGACAACUGGGAUGGACUCCAGCCUCCCAGUGAGAGCCUGGCCAAGAUUGUACGGAACCUAAACGGGGCCGAAAUCCACCUGAACCCAUCACUCACUUGCCACCACAACAGCACUGCUGAUAUUGCUUUCUCUAUUGCCCAGUCUCAAUGGGCAGAGACGCAGCCAAGAAAGCCAUGGUAACUCUGGAGGAGCUGCAGAGAUCAACAGCUCACACAGGAGAAUUAGUUGGUGAGUAGGAUUAAAAUAUCCAGGGACUUGUUCAAAAGAAGAAUUGGGCUCACCUGUUCAUUAAACUUUGCUUGAUACAAAACUCAGAGGCAAGUUGCAGGCUUUGUGUGACGCUGACACUGUAUUGGACUCGAAGCAGAAAUCACCAGGAAUCGCAACUUUCCCGACCCUCACAUCUUUGAGAGGGGCAACUCAGCUUCACUUUGAAUCAAGAUUUUACUUCAAUCCUCAGAAUUCAGAAGCCAAGCCUGGAGCAAACAAGACAAAAAUAUCAGAAUGUCUUAUGAGUGGAUUGUGUCCAUUGAAAAUCUGAACAAUGUUCCAAAUCCAUGGAAAGGAUUUACUAUGAACCGGUGUUUGGUGGUGGCACUGGCUGUGCUGCUAGUGAGCUCAGGAGUAAAGGAAGUUCAGGAAGCUCUGGAUUAUUUUGUGGAGGAGACAGGUAUCAUGUCCCUCAUUGACUGUCUCCAGACAGGGUCUCUACCUCAGUUUUCCAUAUGGGACAGUGUCACAAGUUGGUGGGGAUCCGAAGAACUUGGAGCAAUACGGAGAAGAAAAAAACCAAUAGGCAAGAAAGCAAUCCUGAAACCAAAAGUAAAAGAGUGAAACAAAUAUGGAGCUGAUUUAGAGGUUUCGGUUACAGAUUCAUGGGAUUCCUGAAUAAAUAACAAACAAGUUCA